rnacentral:ncRNA from 1 species
AAUUAUUCUAAUGGUUGCUCAUUGAGGUUUAAUGAUGGCUUAAGAUUUUUUAAAUUGAUAAUAUUUAUGUUUAGAUUAUUGUUAUAGGCAAUGUAAUAUUACCUUGUUGUUUUAUAAUUGUAUAAGAUCAGUUCCAGAAUAAUCGGUUAUACUGGUUAGUUUUUUAAUCUAAUUUUGUUAAUUGUAAAAGUAAUUUUUUUCUUAUUUUUGAAAGUUUAGAGGUGGAAUUCUUUAUCUUUUUUUUAUAAUUGUUUUACAAUUUAAAUAUUGGUUAAUAAAUCGGGUUAGACACCGAGUAAUCAAAAUUAAGUUUUGCAGGAUUGUAGUUAAGUGAAAACUGAAAUUAUUUUGGCAGGCUUUUAAAUUUUCUUCGAGGGUUGAUUGGUAAACGAAGUUCCUCGUUAUCUGUCAUAAUUUUUUGCUCAUGUAUGAUUGUUUUUAUUAAACUUGAGGGUUAAUAAAUGUACUUUUAUGUGUCAUAUAGCAAAUAUAUAUUUGGUUUAUGUUAUGAAUCUUAUUGAGCCACAUUGGUUUAUGCUAUGUUUGGAUUCUAUAUUGGGAGAUUUAGAUGAAAUUGUAGAAGAUAGUAAAUUUUUUUUUAUUGGAUUAUUGAAAUUUAUCUAAAAGCGGUUCAAAUUAUCCAUCAAUUGUCCUUAGGAGAGUAAGUUGUAGUAGAGUAGGGUUAGAGGAAUCUGAUCCUAGAGUUAA